UACGGAGGGUGCAAGCGUUAUCCGGAUUUAUUGGGUUUAAAGGGUGCGCAGGCGGGACUUUAAGUCAGUGGUGAAAUCUCUUCGCUUAACGAAGAAACUGCCAUUGAUACUGAAGUUCUUGAAUCUAGUUGACGUUAGUGGAAUGUGUCAUGUAGCGGUGAAAUGCUUAGAUAUGACACAGAACACCGAUCGCGAAGGCAGCUAACGAAGCUAGUAUUGACGCUCAGGCACGACAGCAUGGGGAGCAAACAGG
rnacentral:rRNA from 1 species